GCCACAAAUCAAAUGCCUCCGACCCAUCGAUGUCGCCGUGAGCUAUCAAUUUCAAUUCCACAGCCGCCACUUUGCCGUUUGCCAGGGAAUAUCGAGGUGUGAGGGCCUCAUCUACCUCGACUAGUCAUCAAGAGAGUCAUAAUAUUGUCAGAAAAGCCAGAGGAUCGUCUUCCAGUCGCAGGCCACUCGAGUUGUUUGUGCAGUAUAUGCAUGAAAUAUUAUAGGAUAAAGAGUGUAAGAACCGCCAUGGGGGUAUGAGUUUUCUCUUUGGAAAAUGUAAACCUCGAGCAACGCAGACUCCUAGUGCGACUUAUGGGAAUCCUUCAACGAUGUACUCCACUCUCGUCGGCCACUCGACGAGUCCUUCGAGUGGUAACAUACGUAUCAAAGGACUUGCACAAAGACCCAACAGAAAAAUAUGUUUCAACGUGAAAAGAGGAGAGUCCGCAUCAUCCACUCAGUGUUUGAGGAGGUGUUCAGCACUCGCAUGGACUGAUGCCUUCAGGUAAUGCUGAUGAAUCAAUCCUUUGGGAAGGGGAGUUUAUGUUUUUGCUGUUGGGAUAUAUAUUGGGAGUCGAUAUUAAGCAUUCGAGCGAAAAACUGAGGGAGAACGCCAGGAUAAAUCCCUGGAGGAACGAUAAUGUUCUCAAAAUUAAGACCAUGGCAGAUUCUAGGCGAUUCAUCUCAUUUGUCUCAGUCCCGAGGAGGAAUUAUCAAUUAAAUUAAAAGCAAGUGUACAGGGAUUAUCCUCUGUUGAAAAAAAGACUGCGCAAUUUUUUUAAUGUCCUGAUGUGAAUGUUAGAGUCAAUUGUUAAUUAAAUAGAAAGGGAAUUUGUAAAUAAUUUAUUUUAACAGCGGGGAAGACUGAGUGGUACUUUACACUGGAAAAUAAAUUCCAGAGCCUGGUAUGAAUCGCGGAAGAGCCCGCGGGUACCCGGGUAAAAAAAAAUUUUAGCGGAAUAUUUUUCUGUUUUCAAAAAAUUUCGGGAAAACU